rnacentral:rRNA from 1 species
AGUAGUUUGAUCAGUGGCCUCGAAGGACGAACGCUGGCGGCGUGCUUAACACAUGCAAGUCGAACGGUGAACCAGAGCUUGCUCUGGGGAUCAGUGGCGAACGGGUGAGUAACACGUGGGCAACCUGCCCCAGACUCUGGGAUAACCUCGGGAAACCGAUGCUAAUACCGGAUACGACCACUUCGGACAUCCGACGGUGGUGGAAAGUUUUUCGGUCUGGGAUGGGCCCGCGGCCUAUCAGCUAGUUGGUGGGGUAAUGGCCUACCAAGGCGACGACGGGUAGCCGGCCUGAGAGGGCGACCGGCCACACUGGAACUGAGACACGGUCCAGACUCCUACGGGAGGCAGCAGUGGGGAAUAUUGCACAAUGGGCGAAAGCCUGAUGCAGCGACGCCGCGUGAGGGACGACGGCCUUCGGGUUGUAAACCUCUUUCAGCAGGGACGAAGCGAAAGUGACUGUACCUGCAGAAGAAGCACCGGCUAACUACGUG